rnacentral:rRNA from 1 species
UACGGGGGGGGCAAGCGGUUGUUCGGAAUUACUGGGCGUAAAGGGCUCGUAGGUGGCCAACUCAGUCAGACGUGAAAUCCCUCGGCUUAACCGGGGAACUGCGUCUGAUACUGGAUGGCUUGAGGUUGGGAGAGGGAUGCGGAAUUCCAGGUGUAGCGGUGAAAUGCGUAGAUAUCUGGAGGAACACCGGUGGCGAAGGGCGGCAUCCUGGACCAAUUCUGACACUGAGGAGCGAAGCCAGGGAGACA